rnacentral:misc_RNA from 1 species
GAUGAAGAACGUAGCGAAAUGCGAUAAGUAAUGUGAAUUGCAGAAUUCAGUAAAUCAUCGAAUCUUUGAACGCACAUUGCGCCCGUCAGUAUUCUGGCGGGCAUGCCUGUUCGAGCGUCAUUACGCCCCUCAAGUCCCCUGUGGACUUGGUGUUGGGGAUCGGCGAGGCUGGUUUUCCAGCACAGCCGUCCCUUAAAUUAAUUGGCGGUCUCGCCGUGGCCCUCCUCUGCGCAGUAGUAAAACACUCGCAACAGGAGCCCGGCGCGGUCCACUGCCGUAAAACCCCCCAACUUUUUAUAGUUGACCUCGAAUCAGGUAGGACUACCCGCUGAACUUAAGCAUAUCAAUAAGCGGAGGA